rnacentral:rRNA from 1 species
AGUGAACGCUGGCGGUAGGCCUAACACAUGCAAGUCGAACGGCAGCACAGUAAGAGCUUGCUCUUACGGGUGGCGAGUGGCGGACGGGUGAGGAAUACAUCGGAAUCUACUUUUUCGUGGGGGAUAACGUAGGGAAACUUACGCUAAUACCGCAUACGACCUACGGGUGAAAGCAGGGGAUCUUCGGACCUUGCGCGAUUGAAUGAGCCGAUGUCGGAUUAGCUAGUUGGCGGGGUAAAGGCCCACCAAGGCGACGAUCCGUAGCUGGUCUGAGAGGAUGAUCAGCCACACUGGAACUGAGACACAGUCCAGACUCCUACGGGAGGCAGCAGUGGGGAAUAUUGGACAAUGGGCGCAGGCCUGAUCCAGCCAUACCGCGUGGGUGAAGAAGGCCUUCGGGUUGUAAAGCCCUUUUGUUGGGAAAGAAAAGCAGCAGGUUAAUACCCCGCUGUUCUGACGGUACCCAAAGAAUAAGCACCGGCUAACUUCGUG